rnacentral:rRNA from 1 species
UACGGGGGGGGCAAGCGUUGUUCGGAAUUACUGGGCGUAAAGGGCUCGUAGGUGGCCAACUAAGUCAGACGUGAAAUCCCUCGGCUUAACCGGGGAACUGCGUCUGAUACUGGAUGGCUUGAGUUCGGGAGAGGGAUGCGGAAUUCCAGGUGUAGCGGUGAAAUGCGUAGAUAUCAAGAGGAACACCUGAGGUGAAGACGGGUUGCUGGGCUGACACUGACGCUGAGGCGCGAAAGCCAGGGGAGCAAACGGG